rnacentral:tRNA from 1 species
GUUGUAGCUCAGUGGUAGAGUGCCUGCCCAGCACAGUGAGGCACUGGGUUCAAUCCUCAGCACGACA